GAGGAGUCAGCUCAGGAGUGGCAGAGCUGAGCUUCUAACGCAGAGCUGACCUUCUUGUCACCUUGAGGAAACCACUGGCUCCCCCAUCGACCCCGAGAAGGGGCGGCAGGACACACCUCAUGCCCCCCAGAGCCCACGGUCGGGCUUCCCAUCGCCACCGUUUUUGCGUACCCGGUGGGGACUCGUCCUCGAAAGCCAUGCCGAAAUGAACUGGUGAAGUUGACCUCAUCUUUCCUGUGGGGAAAAUAUACUUAAAAAACUAAAAUCCAAGGCAUGGAAGAUAAUAACAUGAAGCUCACUACAGAUCGCAGAAGCUAUUCUGAAGCUAUUCUGCUUGUUAUUUAAAAUCUAAUCCUGUUUCAGUUAGUUCUGCCCCAGUAUAGACUCUGAAGCAAGAUACUCUUCAACGUCAGUUGAGCACACGCUGAGUCCCAGAAUUAGGGGGACAUCUCGCCUCUGUGCAUGGGCUCCCACCGGGUCUCCAUUCUCCUCCACCCACUUCCGUCUUCCCAACCAGGAAUCCAUGGAAGAUGGUGGGAU
rnacentral:lncRNA from 1 species